CCUUCGAUAGCUCAGUUGGUAGAGCGGAGGACUGUAGGUAGACCUUCCAGGUAUCCUUAGGUCGCUGGUUCGAAUCCGGCUCGAAGGA
rfam:Cricetulus griseus cell line CHO-K1, whole genome shotgun sequence.